CAUACGCUCUGAAUACAUUAGCAUGGAAUAACGUGAUAGGACUCUGGUCCUAUUGUGUUGGUCUUCGGGACCGGAGUAAUGAUUAAUAGGGACAGUUGGGGAUAUUCGUAUUUCAUUGUCAGAGGUGAAAUUCUUGGAUUUAUGAAAGACGAACUUCUGCGAAAGCAUUUAUCAAGGAUGUUUUCAUUAAUCAAGAACGAAAGUUGGGGGCUCGAAGACGAUCAGAUACCGUCCUAGUCUCAACCAUAAACGAUGCCGACUAGGGAUUGGCGGAUGUUAAUUUGAUGACUCCGCCAGCACCUUAUGAGAAAUCAAAGUUUUUGGGUUCCGGGGGGAGUAUGGUCGCAAGGCUGAAACUUAAAGGAAUUGACGGAAGGGCACCACCAGGAGUGGAGCCUGCGGCUUAAUUUGACUCAACACGGGGAAACUUACCAGGUCCAGACAUAGUAAGGAUUGACAGAUUGAGAGCUCUUUCUUGAUUCUAUGGGUGGUGGUGCAUGGCCGUUCUUAGUUGGUGGAGUGAUUUGUCUGGUUAAUUCCGAUAACGAACGAGACCUCAGCCUGCUAACUAGUUACACGAAGAUUCUUCUCCGUGGCCAACUUCUUAGAGGGACUAUUUGGCGUCUACAGCCAAUGGAAGUUUGAGGCAAUAACAGGUCUGUGAUGCCCUUAGAUGUUCUGGGCCGCACGCGCGCUACACUGAUGAAUUCAACGAGUUUAUAACCUGGGCCGAAAGGUCUGGGUAAUCUUGUGAAAUUUCAUCGUGAUGGGGAUAGAUUAUUGCAAUUAUUAAUCUUCAACGAGGAAUUCCUAGUAAGCGCGAGUCAUCAGCUCGCGUUGAUUACGUCCCUGCCCUUUGUACACACCGCCCGUCGCUCCUACCGAUUGAAUGAUCCGGUGAAGUUUUCGGAUUGCGGCUACUCCGGCGGUCCGCCGCCGAAGAAGCUGUGAGAAGUUCAUUAAACCUUAUCAUUUAGAGGAAGGAGAAGUCGUAACAAGGUUUCCGUAGGUGAACCUGCGGAAGGAUCAUUGACACACAUCCUAACCGAUGCUUGUGCCAACAAGCAGACCCAGCGAACCAUUCUCCUAUCACUUGAGGGGCUGCAUCGCGAGGUGCAGCUGUCGGCGGUCGGGCCCUUGCUUCAGGGGCCGGAGUCCUUGCUGGGUUCACCGUUGCGGGUGAGCACCGGCCGUCCGACGGGGGCCGCUCUUGGGCCUCGCACACGGGAGAGUGCGGGGGCGGCGUUUCCCACUCCAGCUGUCCCUUCCGGGGCAGCUGCGCAACCAACCAAACACUAUGCAAAAACCGACUGAAGACCGAUCCUUUGCGGGCGCCUUCGGGAGCCCUGCCUAGGAUCAAAACAAACUACAGACAACUCUCAACAACGGAUAUCUUGGCUCUCGCAACGAUGAAGAACGCAGCGAAAUGCGAUACGUAGUGUGAAUUGCAGAAUUCCGUGAAUCAUCGAAUCUUUGAACGCAUAUUGCGCCCGCGGCCUCGGCCAAGGGCAUGCCUGCCUGAGCGUCAUUAUAACACCUCACAACCCUUUUUGGGUAGUGGAUCUGGCCGUCCGGACUCUCGAGCCUGGUCGGCUGAAAGGCAGAUGCAAAGCCAGCAGCCCAUUCAACGGCAAGGCGUGGUAGACCGCAUCGCGGGCGAUCGUCGUGCCGGGGCUGCCUUUUGGCCUUCGCAUUAGCAGGAACCGCCGCUCCCGACGGACUUCGGUCUGAAAGGAGCCGGCCUUGACCCAUUGACCUCAGAUCAGACAAGAUUACCCGCCGAAUUUAAGCAUAUUACUAAGCGGAGGAAAAGAAACUAACAAGGAUUCCCCUAGUAACGGCGAGCGAACCGGGAAGAGCCCAACUUGAAAAUCUGGCAGCUUCGCUGUCCGAAUUGUAGUCUAAAGAAGCGUCCUCUGUAGCGGACCGGGCCCAAGUUCCCUGGAAUGGGACGUC
rnacentral:rRNA from 1 species